AGGGAAUUUUGCGCAAUGGACGGAAGUCUGACGCAGCAACGCCGCGUGAAGGAUGAAGGCCUUCGGGUUGUAAACUUCUGUUGGAUGGGAAAAAAAGCCUUUUAAGAGGAAUUGAUGGUACCAUUCGAGUAAGCACCGGCUAACUACGUGCCAGCAGCCGCGGUAAUACGUAGGGUGCGAGCGUUGUUCGGAAUCACUGGGCGUAAAGGGAGCGUAGGCGGAACUGUAAGUUAGAAGUUUAAUACAUGGGCUCAACCCGUGGUCUGCUUUUAAAACUGCGGUUCUUGAGUAGGGGAGAGGGCGAUGGAAUUCCAGGUGUAGCGGUGGAAUGCGUAGAUAUCUGGAAGAACACCAGUAGCGAAGGCGGUCGGAUGGACCAAUACUGACGCUGAGGCUCGAAAGCUGGGGGAGCAAACA
rnacentral:rRNA from 1 species